GACGAACGCUGGCGGCGUGCCUAAUACAUGCAAGUUGAGCGCUGAAGGUUGGUACUUGUACCGACUGGAUGAGCAGCGAACGGGUGAGUAACGCGUGGGGAAUCUGCCUUUGAGCGGGGGACAACAUUUGGAAACGAAUGCUAAUACCGCAUAAAAACUUUAAACACAAGUUUUAAGUUUGAAAGAUGCAAUUGCAUCACUCAAAGAUGAUCCCGCGUUGUAUUAGCUAGUUGGUGAGGUAAAUGCUCACCAAGGCGAUGAUACAUAGCCGACCUGAGAGGGUGAUUGGCCAGAUUGGGACUGAGACACGGCCCAAACUCCUACGGGAGGCAGCAGUAGGGAAUCUUCGGCAAUGGACGAAAGUCUGAGCGAGCAACGCCGCGUGAGUGAAGAAGGUUUUCGGAUCGUAAAACUCGGUUGGUAGAGAAGAACGUUGGUGAGAGUGGAAAGCUCAUCAAGUGACGGUAACUACCCAGAAAGGGACGGCUAACUACGUG
rnacentral:rRNA from 1 species